CCCACAAAGCUGAAAAGGCAGACACUCAGGUUUUUUGUUUUGUUUCAUUAUUUUUGUUUUCUUUAGGCAAUGAAGAGUUUUACAAAUUCCUCUCCUGCCCAACUGAGUCUUGAGGACUCUGAAGUGAAACCGACCUGGUUAGUUCUGCGCUAGGUGAGUCACCUCCCUGCUCUGAGCCUCAGUUUCCCUCUCUGUGCAAAGGGCCGAAUUGAGAGGACUAAGUAAGAUCAAGUCAGGCUAAUCACUAGCUUAGCAAAGUGCCUAGAAUUUGUGUCUAAUACAUUUCUUUUCCAUUUUCUACUUCUCUGUUUGAUGAGGUGCUGCUUUCAAACAGAACAAAAGGGUAGAAAAUGAGUCUCCUUCUGGGUGUGGGGACAAAUGCCUAUAACCCCAGAGACUCAGGAGGCUGAGGCAGGAGGAUUCCAAGUUGGAGACCAGUCUCAGCAACUUAGUGAGACCCUGUCUCAAAAUUAAAAAUAAGGGGCUGGGGAUGUGGCUCAAGUGGUAGCGCGCUCAUCUGGCAUGCAUGCGGCCCGGGUUCGAUCCUCAGCACCACAUACCAACAAAGAUGUUGUGUCUGCCGAUAACUAAAAAAAUAAAUAAAUAUUAAAAAAAAGAAGGGCUGGGUCUGAAACACAUGGGAAUACUCGUGGUUUCAAUCCCCAGUACAAUAAUAAUAAUAAAACAUUAAUAACAGAAAAAUAUUGGGCUGGGGAUGUGGCUCAAGCGGUAGCGCGCUCGCCUGGCAUGCGUGCGGCCCGGGUUUGAUCCUCAGCACCACAUACCAACAAAGAUGUUGUGUCCACUGAAAACUAAAAAAAAAAAGAAAAAUAUACACACUUGCCAGGCAUGGUGGCUCAUACCUGUAAUCUCAGCUACUUGGGAGACUGACAGAGGAGGAUCGCAAGUUUGAGGCCAAACUAGACACUUAACAAGACCCUGUCUCAAAAUAAAAUUAAACUAAAAGGGAUAGGAGGGUAGCUUGGUGGUGGAGCACUUGCCUACCAUGUGCCAAACCCUGGGUUCCAUCCCCAGUACAACAAGAAAAAAGGGAGGGGGCUGGGGCUGGGGCUCAGUGGCAGAGCACAUGCCUCGCAUGCAUGAGGCACUGGGUCCGAUCCUCAGCACCACAGAAAAAUAAAUAAAUAAAGAUAUCGUGUCCAUCUACAACUAAAAAAAUACUUAAAAAAAAAGAGGGGUGGGUGGGAGAGACACCCUUUUCCCCUGGUUCCUUGAUCCGCUACUUCCUCUCGCAGAUGCAACCAUAAAUAAGUACAGGUUUCAAAAUCCUUUCCAAUUACAGAAAUGUUACAAAAAUAAUUCAGAGAAUUCCAGAGUGCCCUCUUCCCUGAACCCCCGGUCUUCAGUAUUUUGUGUCUGUUUCCCUUCCUUCAUGUCGUUAACACACUGACCACCAAUGACAUUUGUUCUCAAACCAUUUAGGAGAGACCAGAGGGGCCCUGCCCCGUCUCCUCCUCAAUAUUUCAACACGUGUCCUCGGAGCUCAGGAGGCCGUGGUCUGCAGCCACAGCACUGUUGCCAAAUUCAGGAAAUCCACCUUCAAGCAACUCAGUCACGCCUGUGUCCUGACGGGGACACACUCCGAGAAUCCCACCAUCGUGUGAACACCUCCCCUUCUGGGACCACCCUUUGCCUGUGCCACCCUUCCCUGACAAGGCCAGAUGCCUCUCACUGGUGAUGUGGUUCUAAAGUGCCCCCGAGGAUGUGGUCUCCCCGAGACUGAAAAGUGACCCUUGGGGUGUGGGUGGCCGGGCUGUGAGGGCCAUUUAGAUAUUUUGUUCUCAUCGAAUUUCCCCCUUAGUUUUAGCUCUCAGGGGCGGUUUUUGCCUGAAACAAUCUUGACAACAAUGGUUAUAAAAUGUCACGUGGGUUUUAACCCAGGUAAAUAUGAAUAUUUCUG
rnacentral:tRNA from 1 species